CAAGAACCCCAGGUCAGAGAACACGAGGCUUGCCACCAUCUUGGAAGUGGCCUGCCACCAUCUUGGGAGCUCGGGAGCAAGGACCCCCUCGUAACAGUGGUAUCAAAUGGUUUAUUAAUUAUUUUCCUAACUCUACUGAAAGUACAGAAAUGCAUAAAAAAUAUACUUCAUGCACAUUAUCUGGCAGCUAGGUUGUCUUGCAGCAGAACGAUUUUUUAGGGUAUCUAGUCCUUUCAUACUACCAGAAGCAAAAAUCCCAAAAGUAACAUUUUUCACUGUAAAAAAUUUCGAAAUUCCACAUAAUCCCAAAUCAAAAAGAAAAAUAAAUUCUCCCAUCACUGAGCUAUCCAGAAAAUCCAAGUAAAUAAUUUGAAAUUCUGAAGAUAAAUGACAUACAAGUGCCAAAUUUACAGUUCCAAAAUGAAGAGUUCUGCAUUCAAAAAAAGGAUGAGAAAGGAUGUUAUUUGAGCUAGACCUUCAAGCACAAGAGGAAUUCCGAUAAGUACGAGGCACUGGAAAAUUAUUAUAGUCAAGGAUAAUGGCAAAAGCAGAGAAUAAAGGCAGGAAGGGGCAUGUAGUGAUCAGAAGCCAAAACAAAAAUCAGUGGGCAGAUACAUUCUUUAGAACAACUCAUUAUUAUCGUCAUUAUAUACACAAGAAAACAGAGUUCAUCAGAUAGGUUCAGCAGAUUGUUCAAGGUCACAUAGCAAAAGAUGGAGACUCUUGGAUUUUAUCCCAGCCAGACCAACUCUAACCACCAUCCUGUGCAGCCUGAGACCAAUUGUUAAAGUUACAUGUAUUGGUAUGACCAUUUCCACCUGACAGCAAAUGCAAGGGAACCAUAAAUACCACACAAAGAAGAAAAAAAAAAUGAAGAGAGAAUGAAUGAAAGAAAAAUGUUUGGCAAUGGGAACCUACAAUUAUGACUCAAAUGCCCCUAACUUCAAUAAAAGGGAAAUGAACUAUGAAAUUAUUGAAGGAAGCAGUAUAUGAAAAUGAAGGCAUAGAUACUCCAUUCAAAUCUCUUAAUAUAUAAAUUUAAAUAUUCACUCCAUUUUAAGUGAAUGAUUCUGUCAAAAGAAUUAAUUUUCUGAGCAAUGAGGAUAUUCAUUUACCAUGAUUCCACCAUCUGCAAUUUAUGAACCAAAUUAUACUCUUUCAGAAAAAAAGAAGUUCAUACAAUGCAUUUAAACUACAUCAAGACCAAAUCAAAAAUGUUUUCCUAAAAUUGAAGAAAUCACCAAGUAAAAGUUAAUCACCU
rnacentral:lncRNA from 10 species